rnacentral:rRNA from 1 species
AAUCAACGCUGGCGGCGUGCCUAACACAUGCAAGUCGCGCGCGAAAGGGGGGCAACCCCCGAGUAAAGCGGCGAACGGGUGAGUAACACGUGGGUAAUCUACCUUCGAGUGGGGAACGAACAUCGGGAAACUGGUGCUAAUUCCGCAUGACCAUCGUCGGGGCUUCGGUUCUGACGAUCAAAGCUGGGGAUCGCAAGACCUAGCGCUUGAAGAUGAGCCCGCGUCCGAUUAGCAGUUGGCGGGGUAAUGGCCCACCAAGGCUCCGAUCGGUAGCCGGCCUGAGAGGGCGGACGGCCACACUGGAACUGAGACACGGUCCAGACUCCUACGGGAGGCAGCAGUGGGGUAAUUUUCGCAAUGGGGGCAACCCUGACGAAGCAACGCCGCGUGGGGAGUGAAGGUCUUCGGAUUCGUAAACCCCUGUCGACUGGGACGAAUGUAGAGCGGCCUAAUACGCCGAGCUAUUGACUGUACCGGUGGAGGAAGCCACGGCUAACUCUGU